AUAAGCAAAAUAAGGGCGUAUGGGGGAUGCCUUGGCUCUCAGAGGCGAUGAAAGGCGUGAUAAGCUGCGAAAAGCUACGGGGAUUGGCACACACGAAUUGAUCCGUAGAUACCUGAAUGGGGCAACCCGGCAUGUUGAAGACAUGUCACUCCGAUAGGAGAGCAAACCCGCUGAACUGAAACAUCUAAGUAGGCGGAGGAGAAGAAAACAAAAGUGAUUCCGUAAGUAGUGGCGAGCGAACGCGGAUUAGCCCAAACCAGAGUUGUUACGGCAAUUUUGGGGUUGUAGGACCACGAUAUUCGAUGCGGAUUGAACCGGAAUUACCUGGAAAGGUAAACCAAAGAGGGUGAUAGUCCUGUAUGGGUAAGAGAAGAUAUCGAUAGUGGUAUCCUGAGUAGGGCGGGGCACGUGAAACCCUGUCUGAAUCUGGCGGGACCAUCCGCUAAGGCUAAAUACUCCUGAGAGACCGAUAGUGAACCAGUACCGUGAGGGAAAGGUGAAAAGAACCGUGAAUAACGGAGUGAAAUAGAUCCUGAAACCAUACGCUUACAAGCGGUCGGAGCCCUUUCGUGGGGUGACGGCGUGCCUUUUGCAUAAUGAGCCUACGAGUUACCGUUGCUGGCAAGGAUAAGUGAUUAAGUCAUGGAUCCGUAGCGAAAGCGAGUCUGAAUAGGGCGCCAUAGUCAGUAAUGGUAGACGCGAAACCGUGUGAUCUACCCAUGGGCAGGAUGAAGCUGUGGUAACACAUAGUGGAGGUCCGAACCGGUUGACGUUGAAAAGUCUUCGGAUGACCUGUGGGUAGGGGUGAAAGGCCAAUCAAACUCGGAAAUAGCUCGUACUCCCCGAAAUGCAUUUAGGUGCAGCGCUGGGUAUAAGUUAUAUAGAGGUAGAGCUACUGAUUGGAUGCGGGGGCUUCACCGCCUACCAAUUCCUGACAAACUCCGAAUGCUAUAUAAUGUUUACCAGCAGUGAGGGCAUGGGUGCUAAGGUCCAUGUCCGAGAGGGAAAGAACCCAGACCAUCAGCUAAGGUCCCCAAAUGUAUGCUAAGUUGAAAAAACGCGGUUUGUCUGCAUUGACAGCUAGGAUGUUGGCUUGGAAGCAGCCAUUCAUUUAAAGAGUGCGUAACAGCUCACUAGUCGAGCGGACGAGCAUGGAUAAUAAUCGGGCAUAAGCAUACUACCGAAGCUAUGGAUUUUACGUUAAGUAAAGUGGUAGGGGAGCAUUCUAAACUGGGUCGAAGGUGUGAUGCGAGUCAUGCUGGACUGUUUAGAAAAGAAAAUGUAGGCAUAAGUAACGAUAAUGCGGGCGAGAAACCCGCACACCGAAAAACUAAGGUUUCCACAGCUAUGCUAAUCAGCUGUGGGUUAGUCGGGUCCUAAGGCGAACCCGAAAGGGACAGUCGAUGGCCAACGGGUUAAUAUUCCCGUACUACUUAUAAUUGUGAUGGAAUGACGGAGUGAUGAAAGCACCGCGAACUGACGGAAUAGUUCGUUGAAGUACUUAGCUAUAAGAUCUAUAGGCAAAUCCGUAGAUUUUGGUGAAAUACGAUAGUACUCUGAGGCUUCGGCCAAGGGGAUAGUGUGCCUAAGGGCUUCCAAGAAAAGUUUCUAAACUUAGAUUAUAAGUACCCGUACCGUAAACCGACACAGGUAGUUGAGGAGAGAAUCCUAAGGUGCUCGAGAGAUUCAUGGCUAAGGAAUUAGGCAAAAUAGACCUGUAACUUCGGGAGAAAGGUCGCCAGCAGCAAUGCUGGCCGCAGUGAAAAGGUCCAGGCGACUGUUUAUCAAAAACACAGGGCUCUGCAAAAUCGUAAGAUGAAGUAUAGGGCCUGACACCUGCCCGGUGCUGGAAGGUUAAGAGGAGAUGUUAUCUUCGGAGAAGCAUUGAAUUGAAGCCCCAGUAAACGGCGGCCGUAACUAUAACGGUCCUAAGGUAGCGAAAUUCCUUGUC
rnacentral:rRNA from 1 species